GCUCCAAUAGCGUAUAUUAAAGUUGUUGCAGUUAAAAAGCUCGUAGUUGAACCUUGGGCCUUGCUGGCCGGUCCGCCUCACCGCGUGCACUGGUCCGACCGGGUCUUUCCUUCUGAGGAGCCGCAUGCCCUUCACUGGGUGUGUCGGGGAAUCAGGACUUUUACUUUGAAAAAAUUAGAGUUUCAAAGCAGGCCUAUGCUCGAAUACAUUAGCAUGGAAUAAUAGAAUAGGACGUGUGGUUCUAUUUUGUUGGUUUCUAGGACCGCCGUAAUGAUUAAUAGGGACAGUCGGGGGCAUCAGUAUUCAAUUGUCAGAGGUGAAAUUCUUGGAUUUAUUGAAGACUAACUACUGCGAAAGCAUUUGCCAAGGAUGUUUUCAUUGAUCAGUGAACGAAAGUUAGGGGAUCGAAGA
rnacentral:rRNA from 1 species